rnacentral:rRNA from 1 species
AGAGUUUGAUCCUGGCUCAGAUUGAACGCUGGCGGCAUGCCUUACACAUGCAAGUCGAACGGUAGCGCGGACUUCGGUCUGGCGGCGAGUGGCGAACGGGUGAGUAAUGCAUCGGAACGUACCAUUGAGUGGGGGAUAACUAUCCGAAAGGAUAGCUAAUACCGCAUAUUCUGUGAGCAGGAAAGCAGGGGAUCGCAAGACCUUGCGCUCUUUGAGCGGCCGAUGUCAGAUUAGCUAGUUGGUGAGGUAAAGGCUCACCAAGGCUACGAUCUGUAGCGGGUCUGAGAGGAUGAUCCGCCACACUGGGACUGAGACACGGCCCAGACUCCUACGGGAGGCAGCAGUGGGGAAUUUUGGACAAUGGGGGCAACCCUGAUCCAGCCAUGCCGCGUGAGUGAAGAAGGCCUUCGGGUUGUAAAGCCCUUUCGGCCGGGAAGAAAUCGCAGGGGCUAAUAUCCCCUGUGGAUGACGGUACCGGACUAAGAAGCACCGGCUAACUACGUGCCAGCAGCCGCGGUAAUACGUAGGGUGCGAGCGUUAAUCGGAAUUACUGGGCGUAAAGCGUGCGCAGGCGGUUUUUUAAGACAGGCGUGAAAUCCCCGGGCUUAACCUGGGAACUGCGCUUGUGACUGGAAGGCUAGAGUACGGCAGAGGGGGGUGGAAUUCCACGUGUAGCAGUGAAAUGCGUAGAGAUGUGGAGGAACACCGAUGGCGAAGGCAGCCCCCUGGGCCGAUACUGACGCUCAUUCACGAAAGCGUGGGGGGCAAACAGGAUUAGAUACCCUGGUAGUCCACGCCCUAAACGAUGUCAACUAGGUGUUGGGUGGGUAAAACCAUUUAGUACCGUAGCUAACGCGUGAAGUUGACCGCCUGGGGAGUACGGCCGCAAGGUUUAAACUCAAAUGAAUUGACGG